UUAAAAACCAAUGCCCUCCCGGGNYUMAYUGGUGAUUCAUGAUAACUUCUUCGAWUCGCACGGCYUUGCGCCGGCGAUGGUUCAUUCAAAUUUCUUCCCUAUCAACUUUCGAUGUUUGGGUAUUGGCCAAACAUGGUUGCAACGGGUAACGGAGGGUUAGGGCUCGACCCCGGAGAAGGAGCYUGAGAAACGGCUACUACAUCCAAGGAAGGCAGCAGGCGCGCAAAUUACCCAAUCCCGACACGGGGAGGUAGUGACAAUAAAUACUGAUACAGGGCUCUUUUGGGUCUUGUAAUUGGAAUGAGUACAAUUUAAAUCCCUUAACGAGGAACAAUUGGAGGGCAAGUCUGGUGCCAGCAGCCGCGGUAAUUCCAGCUCCAAUAGCGUAUAUUAAAGUUGUUGUGGUUAAAAAGCUCGUAGUUGAACCUUGGGCCUGGCUGGCCGGUCCGCCUCACCGCGUGUACUGGGUCCGGCCGGGCCUUUCCCUCCUGUGGAACCCUAUGCCCUUCACUGGGUGUARC
rnacentral:rRNA from 1 species